UGGGGAAUUUUGCACAAUGGGCGCAAGCCUGAUGCAGCGACGCCGCGUGAGGGAUGAAGGCCUUCGGGUUGUAAACCUUUUUCGCUCAUGGUAAAGCCGCAGCUUUGGGUUGUGGUGAGGGUAGUGGGUAAAGAAGCGCCGGCUAACUACGUGCCAGCAGCCGCGGUAAUUCGUAGGGCGCGAGCGUUGUCCGGAAUUAUUGGGCGUAAAGGGCUUGUAGGCGGUUGGCCGCGUCUGCCGUGAAAUCCUCUGGCUUAACUGGGGGCGUGCGGUGGGUACGGGUUGACUUGAGUGCGGUAGGGGGGACUGGAAUUCCUGGUGUAGCGGUGGAAUGCGCAGAUAUCAGGAGGAACACCGGUGGCGAAGGCGGGUCUCUGGGCCGUUACUGACGCUGAGGAGCGAAAGCGUGGGGAGCGAACAGG
rnacentral:rRNA from 1 species